GUUGGAAUGGCCGAUAAAGGUAAUAAAUUGUAAAUUUAUGCAUGAGAUGAUUUCUUCCAACA
rnacentral:tRNA from 1 species